rnacentral:rRNA from 1 species
UACAGAGACUGCAAGCGUUAUUCGGAUUCACUGGGCGUAAAGGGUGCGCAGGCGGCCAAGUGUGUGAGGCGUGAAAGCCUGGGGCUUAACUCCAGAAUUGCACCUCAAACUACAUGGCUAGAGCAUUGGAGAGGGUAGCAGAAUUCAUGGUGUAGCAGUGAAAUGCGUAGAUAUCAUGAGGAAUACCAGAGGCGAAGGCGGCUACCUGGACAAUUGCUGACGCUCAGGCACGAAAGCGUGGGGAGCAAAAGGG